GACGAACCGUGCGAACGUUGUUCGGAAUCACUGGGCUUAAAGGGCGCGUAGGCGGUCAGAGGGGUCCCGGGUGAAAGCCCCCAGCUCAACUGGGGAAGUGCCCGGGAUACCGCCUGACUCGAGGGGGGUAGGGGCGUGUGGAACUUCCGGUGGAGCGGUGAAAUGCGUAGAUAUCGGAAGGAACGCCGGUGGCGAAAGCGGCACGCUGGACCCUUUCUGACGCUGAGGCGCGAAAGCCAGGGGAGCAAACGGG
rnacentral:rRNA from 1 species